rnacentral:rRNA from 1 species
UGGGGAAUAUUGCGCAAUGGGGGGAACCCUGACGCAGCCAUGCCGCGUGAAUGAAGAAGGCCUUCGGGUUGUAAAGUUCUUUCGGUAUUGAGGAAGGUUGAUGUGUUAAUAGCACAUCAAAUUGACGUUAAAUACAGAAGAAGCACCGGCUAACUCCGUGCCAGCAGCCGCGGUAAUACGGAGGGUGCGAGCGUUAAUCGGAAUAACUAGGCGUAAAGGGCACGCAGGCGGUUAUUUAAGUGAGGUGUGAAAGCCCUGGGCUUAACCUAGGAAUUGCAUUUCAGACUGGGUAACUAGAGUACUUUAGGGAGGGGUAGAAUUCCACGUGUAGCGGUGAAAUGCGUAGAGAUGUGGAGGAAUACCGAAGGCGAAGGCAGCCCCUUGGGAAUGUACUGACGCUCAUGUGCGAAAGCGUGGGGAGCAAACAGGAUUAGAUACCCUGGUAGUCCACGCUGUAAACGCUGUCGAUUUGGGGGUUGGGGUUUAACUCUGGCGCCCGUAGCUAACGUGAUAAAUCGACCGCCUGGGGAGUACGGCCGCAAGGUUA